rnacentral:rRNA from 1 species
UAGGGAAUCUUCCACAAUGGGCGCAAGCCUGAUGGAGCAACACCGCGUGAGUGAAGAAGGGUUUCGGCUCGUAAAGCUCUGUUGUUAAAGAAGAACACGUAUGAGAGUAACUGUUCAUACGUUGACGGUAUUUAACCAGAAAGUCACGGCUAACUGCGUGCCAC